rnacentral:snRNA from 1 species
GCGCUCACUUUGGCAGCACAGAUACUAAGAUUGGAACGACGCAGAGAAGAUUAGCAUGGCUCCUGGGCAAGGAUGACACGCAAAUUCGUGAAGCGUUCUAUACUUUU